rnacentral:rRNA from 1 species
GGUGGCCUACGGGAGGCAGCAGUGAGGGAAUAUUGGACAAUGGGCGCAAGCCUGAUGCAGCCAUGCGCGCUGUGAGUGAAGAAGGCCUCCGGGUUGUAAAGCUCUUUUGGCGGGGACGAUGAUGGCGGUACCCGCAGAAUARGCCCCGGSUAACUUCGUGCCAGCAGCCGCGGNAAU